rnacentral:rRNA from 1 species
CCUACGGGUGGCUGCAGUGGGGAAUAUUGCACAAUGGGGGAAACCCUGAUGCAGCGACGCCGCGUGAGGGAAGAAGGAACUCGUUAUGGAAAGCUCUAUUCGCAGGGAAGAAAAUGACUGUACCUGAGUAAGAAUCCCCGUCUAACUACGUUCCAGCCGCGGCGGUAAUACGGAGGGGGCAAGCGUUAUCCGGAUUUACGGGGUGUAAAGGGAGCGUAGACGGCAGAGCAAGUAUGGAGUGAAAGGCGGGGGCUCAACCCCCGGACUGCUCUGGAAACUGUACGGCUGGAGUGCAGGAGAGGUAAGUGGAAUUCCUGGUGUAGCGGUGAAAUGCGUAGAUAUAAGGAGGAACACCAGUUGCGAAGGCGAAUUGCUGGACAGUAACUGACGCUGAGGCGCGAAAGCGUGGGGAGCAAACAGGAUUAGAUACCCUGGUAGUC